GGUUCUUUAAUAAGAAAAAAAUAUUGCCUCUCAUAUAACACAAUGAUCGUAUAUGCAAAAGAAAGAAACUAUGGCUGCACAUAGAUCGGAUAAUAUCCGCAUAUUCGCGGUAAUUAUUCGCAUUCGAUGUAAAUUUUGCAGAUAUUAUCCGAUCCACAGAGUCAUCAGAUCGGAUCAGAUUCGAUUCGCACUAUGGUAGAAUCGGAUUGCGGAUUUGGCAGUGAUAUUUGCGGAUUCGAUCUGCAAAUCCGCAUAUCCGCAUAUCCGCAUAUCUCAUAUAAAUAGCAUAGUUUAACAAAGUAAACCCUAAUGUGAUAUGAAUUUUCACUACAAGAGAGGCGGUAGAUAGCAGCGGCUAUUUAGCGGUGGUUGGUUGAGCCGCUGCUAUCUCUCCAUUUUGUGGCAGCUGUAGCGGCCAAUCUGGUGAACGCUGCCAAUCUGUUUGAAACGCCCCCUGCCGCUCUGCCCUUCAGUCUCAUUAUCUUUUCUUUCUCAAGACAAACCAAACUUAACCCUAACCCAUCUUUCAACCUCAAACCUUCAGAUCCUACCAAACUCAGGUUUCUUCUUCUUCUUCUUCUUCUUCCACCUUCGCCGAACAACCAUCACAAAAACCCUUUUUUCUCUUUCUCUUCCCUUGUCUUCUGCCUUCUCUGUCUUGCCGCCGGCUACCAUCCAGUGCCGCCGCGACCAUCUUCUUCCCCUCCUCACAACCUUGCACUGUGGCUCUCUAGCUCGCCCCUGCCUCCCUCAUUCCCAGUAGCAGAAUCAGAAUAUAGCCACUCUUGUUCCAGCGAGUUCAGAUGCUGCAGUGGCUGGUCACUGCCACUGCAUCCCUCUCUCCUGAAUUCUUGCUCUAUUCUUCGACUCAGAGCUAUGAUGAUAAAGGGUCUGUCAUAGAUGUUAUUGUUUGGCAUGAUGGAGAGGUCUAGAAGGUUGCUCUUAACACAUAAAGUAUUGAGGAUGAUCUAGAAUGUGGGAAGCUUGCUAACUUUGUACCCUUAACUAAUUACAGGUACAUUUGGUUGCUAGUGUUUUCUUCACUUUCCAUUCAAAUUUUCUGAGCAUCACUCUUCUCUGCAUGCUUCCAUUUGGAUUAAGUUAAAGGGUACUUCAUUUUGACCCUUUGUCUAUAUAUGCUAUACCUGCAUGCAAAUGGGCGUUGAAUUCUUUGGAUAUGCAUGGAAAUAAUUGUCAAGGUUUGAGCUGAUAUUAAAUGAAGUUUUGUAGUUGACUGAUCUAUAAAUAGGUUAUUGUUUUCCAUGGAGAUUGUGACAACUGCAGCUGAAUUUGGGAUAAAGCUAAACACUACCACAGUUGAAGAAUCUGAACAAAUAAAAACAAAACUGGUUUACAACCCAGAGCUGAAUUUUGUGUGGUCCAGGACAUGAAAUUAAGUAUCAUUUAAUCUUCAAAGCAGCAUUUAAUUCAAAUUCGUGUCACUGUUUUUAGUUGCUAGCUUAAAAUGUUUAUAUUUUUAGGCUCAGAUUUUCAGUUUAUUCGCUUAUAAUCUUAUAUUUUAAAUUGUUAUCAAUUUAUUUCCAUGUGACAGUUUUAUUAGUGUAAAACUUCAUGUCACUUUAACAAGCUAAUUAAUUGACAUUUUAACCUUUUUUAAUUUUUAUUUAUUACCCAAAAAUCUAAACUUUUUCAGCAUUAGAAGCUUUGGGGAAGACAAUUCAACUGGCAUAGUGAUGAAAGUGAUUUAGAUACAGCAAUUAUUAAGGAUACUACUAAUGGUGUCAGGAUUAAGACUUAACAGGUGCACAUGAGUCCCAUAGCAGUAGAUUAGAUCAUCUUCAAAGUUCUGUACCUCAGGACAACCAUGUUGAUUUUAUGCUGCCUGAAAUCUCACUUAUUGGUGCUCCGCAGCCCUUUCUUCCUCUUCUUACACCUUCACCGUUGGCUCCAUUCACAAAUACCUCUAUUCCAUAGUUAUUAGGACUCUGUGUUUUGAACUUCACAGCUGCUGAAUGGGACCACUGCCAGGCACUGCCUUUCGGAUGUGGAGCAGAUUUUGAUGGGCCAAGGUGCCAGUGCUAAUCUGAGGCAGAUAUGUUCAAUUCGUACUUCAAAUUUCACUGAGGCAUCUUGCCCAGUGAAAAAUGUGGAUGAGUUUCAUGACAUAGUGGAUACUUCUAAACUCCUUAUCUGCCUGUGAGAAAGUUGAUCCAGUGAAAGAAUGUUGCUACCAAGUUUGUCAGAAUGCUAUAUUGGAAGCUGCAACAACAAUUGCUUCAAAAGUUCCUGAUCUUAUGGGCAUAGAUGCAAUGCGUGUUCAAACUGAGAACUCAAGUCGGAUCAGUGAUUGUAAGAAUAUUGUCCUUCGGUGGGUAGCUAGCAAGCUCGAACCUUUUCAAGCAAAGAAAGUUCUCAGACGGCUGUCUAAUUGCCAUGCUAACAAAGGUCUUUUUUUUUUUGCUUAGCGAAAAAUUUUAAUAGUGAUGGUCAUCAAACGAUAAGUUUAGCUGGCUCUAGGUGAUUUUCAGUCAGUCUAUGUUAUAUACAUAUGGGUUGAUACUUCGUUCCCGACAUGAAGCAUGUUUCCAAGGGUUGUGGGGAUGGGAUAAGUAACAAGACAGCCUGCUGUCAUGAAAUGGAAAGCCAUGUGUCUCACUUGCAAAAGCAGAGCUUCAUCAAAAACCACUGCUAGUCAUAUUUUUUUU